AAGGGGGAAGUACCCGGCCAUAUAGUGGUUGGAUAAGAGGAGUGAGUCAUUUAAUUUAUGGCUAAGUUUUGGAGAUAAAGAAUAGGAUGACAUGUGUCAUGUGCUAGUAAUUCAGUAUGUGGUGAAAUGUAAAGCAAAAAGAGAUGAGCAAAGGGGGAUGCAUGGUUAGGAGAGCAAGAGAAAGAGAGAGAAGACUCACGGCAAGAAGAGCAAGGGAAGGAGCAAGUGAGAUCAAGCUUUGACCAUCUAGCUAAGUAAGAAGUAGAAGAUCUUCAAGAGGUAAUCUUAAACCUUAAAACCAUUUCUCCAUCUUUCUAUGUUUUUAUUAGCUUUGAUGGUGGUUGUUGGUAGUUGUUAUGAUUAUUUGAGAUCAUGAAGGAUCUAGGAGAUAUAAGGUUGUUUAUAUACGUAAACUACCGGUAAACAACAUGAAAAGUGGAACAAAAAUGAGAAAAAUACAAACAUAUGCAUAAUGAUGAAUUAUGGACCGUUAAAGGGCUGUUUUGGAGGCCUUUUGUUGUGGUGUCCCAAAUCUAAAAAUUAAGUUCUAAAGUGUUAUGCUAUGUUUUUAUGAUUAAUGAACAUCACCCAAUUGGAACUAAGAUAAAAGCUUUUGUAACGAAGUCAUGGCGGAUGCACGUUAGGACGUAUUGGGCGAUGUUGAGCAGCAUCGUGCAUGUUGGGCAUGCCACGGGCGUGUCGUCGCAUCGACAUGCGACAUUUUUUACAUUGUUCUAAAAUGUUCCAAUUUAUAAAAUAUUAAUAUUAUAAAAAUAAUGAUUAUAGACCAUCGUAAAGGGUCGUUAUAAGGGUCGAGGUGUUUCGGAAUGCCGCGACGCCAAGAGACAUUUUUCAAAGGUUAUCGCGUUACUUUAAUUAUAAAACGCAAACAACAUAAAAUAACUAAUAAUGUAACAUAAACCAAUAUAUGAAGUCGUUAUGUGGCUAAGUGGUAUAUUAUCGUUAAUUAAAUUAUGUAGGACAAUUGAAGGAAGAUUUAGCAUAUAAAUUAAAUAACAAUUCAGAAAAGUUUCCGAACUCUCAUUCAAUUUAUGCGUUGAAUGCAUGUUCUAAUUUACGCAAUGCUUUCAUAUUGUGUGAAUUAAAGUUUUCUGACUUGCACAAAAUUUAUAUAUAGUGUGCAAGUAUUUUAUGACCUUGUACAAAUUUAUUAUUAUGUGCAAAAAAUGUGUUUCAAUUGUAGAAUUCCGUAUGCAAUAUGAAAUUCAUCGAAUUAUGUGAUAUGAGUUAUAGAAAAAGAGUUAUUGCCAUUUGAUUGGGCUUAACUCAGUUUGUUAAGCUAUUCCAAUUGGUAUAUUUAUUGUUGAGAUAUGAAUUGUAAUAAUUCAUGAAUUAUGAUAAGUCUAUAAUGUCAAAUCAAAUAAUUUGGGCAAGUAUUCGUAUGUAUUGCACCUCGUGCAAAAAAUGUGUUAUGUAAGUAAAUGUUGUGUCGUAAUAGUGAAGUAGACAUAGUAAAUGUCAAAUCUAAGAAAGAACAGAGAAGAAAGAUUAAGGUCAUGAGGAAUUGUCAAUAUGUUGUUUCAAAAACGUUAUAUGAAAGGAAAUGAUUGUUCCUAUUUUUUCGUAACUGCUUCAUAACAGUUGUUCAGUUGUUAAAGUUUUCAAAGAAUAUGUUGAUAUUCAUUAUGUUGUUGAUUGUUUAUUGAACUGUUAUACUUACUGAGCAAUUAAAUGUUCACCCUUGCAAAUUCUAAAAUUUUUGCAGUUAGAGCAAGAAGACCUGAAUGGUCAGAUGGUGUUAAGAGUAAAGAAUAUAUAAAGGAGGAAGAUUUAAAUGUAUAAAAGUACAUAAUGUGUUGUAAUAUUAUAUAAUGUUAUAUUAUUAUUUGAGAUACUUUAAUUACCAGGGGUUAGAGGUGAUAUGUUGUAAUAAUAUUGUAAUUACAUUCAUGUCUUAAAAUUAUGUUGAAUGGGUAGUACCGUGAAGCACCAGACCCGAGCUUGAAAGCAGACCCGAGGUUGGCGUCUUUACACACACACACACACACACACAUAUAUAUAUAUAUAUAUAUAUAUAUAUAUAGCUAUUAAAAUUAUUCUUAUAGUCACUAUUUUAUAUUCAGCCAA
rnacentral:lncRNA from 1 species